UCCGUCUUCUACAUUAUUCGUCUAGUAUAAUACUAGAAUAAUACUAGACGAAUAAUGUAGAAGACGGAUUAUG